AUACGGAGGAUGCAAGCGUUAUCCGGAUUUAUUGGGUUUAAAGGGUGCGUAGGCGGUUUGCUAAGCGGGAGGUGAAAUGCCGGCGCUCAACGUCGGAAGUGCCUCCCGAACUGGUGGACUUGAAUGACUCUGCCGUGGGAGGAAUGUGUAGUGUAGCGGUGAAAUGCUUAGAGAUUACACAGAACACCGAUUGCGAAGGCAUCUCACGAAGGGUUGAUUGACGCUGAGGCACGAAAGCGUGGGGAUCAAGCAGGAUUAGAUACCCUGGUAGUCCACGCAGUAAACGAUGAUGGCUAACCGCUGGGCUUAUCAGUUCAGUGGCCAAGCGAAAGCGAUAAGCCAUCCACCUGGGGAGUACGACCGCAAGGUUGAAACUCAAAUGAAUUGAC
rnacentral:rRNA from 1 species